UACAGAGGUCCCAAGCGUUACUGAGAAUCACUGGGUUUAAAGGGUGCGUAGGUGGUCCGUUAAGUCAGUUGUGAAAUCCCCGGGCUCAACCCGGGAACUGCUUCUGAUACUGGCGGACUUGAGGCCAGUAGGGGUCACUAGAACUGACGGUGGAGCGGUGAAAUGCGUAGAUAUCGUCAGGAAUGCCGGUGGUGAAGACGGGUGACUGGGCUGGUUCUGACACUGAGACACGAAAGCGUGGGGAGCGAACGGG
rnacentral:rRNA from 1 species